CCCGGCCGGAGGAGGAGCCGCGGCGGCAGGAAGGCGGCGCCUCGGCGCCCGCGCGGGGACUUCCGGGGCCGGGCGCUGGGCCCGCCUCAACCCUAGCCCCAGCACCAGCGGGGCGCCCCGGCCGCGGACCCCGGCAGGCAGCGCAGCCCCUCAGCGCGCUCCCUGAAAGGGCCGCGGCACCCCCCGGGACCGGCGUCCUUCCCCGGUGCGGCCGAGGGCUGCCAGGCACCAUGGGUGAGGCACCCACGCGUGCUAGGAUGAUUGUGAAAAUAAGUUCACUAAUAUUUCUGAAGAACUGUGAUUUUAUGAUGAACACAAAAUCUGCAGAAAUGAACAAUCCUGCCUUUGAGGGAUGGUUUGGCUUUCAUGUAAUAAAUAAGAACUGAAGACACACCUUGGACAAAGAAGAAAAUAAAUCAUCAAGCUCGUCCACAAACCAAUGUACAUCCUGUGCAACAAAUGCAAUAGAAGUCUUGUGGAAAAGUAGUACAUAAUCUCAUAGUUAACACAGUCUGGCAUUUCUUGAUAAAUUUAAGUGGUUGACUUUGCAACCUUAAUAAUAUUCUUUCAGUUUAGGAUUUGUGGGGCCCUUUUGUUUAUAUGUUUAUAUACAUGGCUAUUCUAUGUAGAUGGCUAUUCCUAUCUUGAAUCUGACUCAGUCCUUACACCAAAAUUAAAACUGAGCACUGAGAUCCUGGAGUUCUUUAGGCAUGUAUACAAAAAGAUUUGUCUUUACCACUUUUAGAAUGGUUGCCCAUCAAUUCCUUUGAAUGUCUUUUUUUUUUUUCUCCUGUACUUCCAACAGGUAAAUAGGAUUACCUGAUUUUUCUUUGCUGUAUUUUACAUUUUGCAUGUUUCUAAUAUGCCUCCUCUUUUUCCUUUUUUUUUGUUAUACUAAGGUCCACAUAUUUUUUCUUCUAUUUGAUGUUUUUUCACACACUAAUCUAUACCUUCCCAUACCAUACGUGUGCCCCCCCCACACACUCACAAUUCAUUUCUGCUUCAUCUUUUGAUCAUUCGAUAUUUUCAAUAAGCUAUUUUAAUAGUUUCCUGUCUUUAUUAUUGAUAACAUACAUUAUCAAAUAUACAGGGGCACCACUUCAGUUUUCAGUCACACGAAAAGUACAAAGUCUCCUUUACUGAGGUUUAGGGCUUGUUUAAUUUUCUAGUAUGAUUAUAUCAGUAUGAUUAUAUUGCUAUAGUGUGGCUGUAUCAUUCCCUGUAUGAAAGCUUUUAUACUGGAAUAAGAUUGUCCCUACCAGAAGUUUUAUUUAUAAAAUUUAUGAGAUAAAAAUUA